rnacentral:rRNA from 1 species
CAGUCGCCGCGUUAAUACAGAGGGUGCGAGCGUUAAUCGGAUUUACUGGGCGUAAAGCGUGCGUAGGCGGCUUUUUAAGUCGGAUGUGAAAUCCCUGAGCUUAACUUAGGAAUUGCAUUCGAUACUGGGAAGCUAGAGUAUGGGAGAGGAUGGUAGAAUUCCAGGUGUAGCGGUGAAAUGCGUAGAGAUCUGGAGGAAUACCGAUGGCGAAGGCAGCCAUCUGGCCUAAUACUGACGCUGAGGUACGAAAGCAUGGGGAGCAAACAGGAUUAGAUACCCCUGUAGUCCCUGUCUCUUAUAC